AUAAAGAUAAGUGCACUAACCAGUAUAUAAAUCUCUUAACAUUAAAAAAGCUUAGAAGUAGAAUAAAACAUUGUGUAUAAACAAAUUCUCUCUAGUGUUGUAGCUUUGGCAGUGAUCUUGAAUAUGGCGAAUCAGCAGCAAGCAUCGAGUAGGCCAUGGAUACUCGAAGUCGUACCUCUUCUAGUAGUCAUACUAAUCGCUGCUCAUGUGCUCGCUUUGGUGUACUGGAUUUAUCGGCUAGCAACUGAGAAACAGCCUCAGAGGAGAAAAAAGCACUAGCAAUAUGUAGAUUAGAUUGAAUUUUCAUUUCGCUUCAGCUUUUAGGAAAAUGCAAGGGAAUCAUUCUAUACGGUUCAGAAGCAAGCUUUACACUCAAGGCUUUGGUGAUUGGUCAGCCCUCUUUGCCUAAGCAUACACUGUCCUCUUUUUCUCCAUGAACUUGUGUGCAAUUAUGCUGGAAAAGUUUGGGAUUUGUUACAUGUUAAUGGAUCGCGUUAAUCGUUUGCCAUUGUUGAGAAACUUCUUCAUUCUUCUAUUAACGCCAGCGCUGUGCAUUUCUACCCCAAGUUUGUAAUUCUUCUACUGGAUUUGCAUUAAUGAUCCUCUUUUGUUGUGUGUGCUUUUUGAACAGUCUUUGCUAGAGCCUGUCAUACAGUUGUAGUUUCUUAUGCAUAGUGAACUUGAGUCAUACUUGUAAAUUUGAUCUAGUAUGAAAAUUGCAACAGAGGUUUGAGGAUUCUUAAAUGUAAUUGGCUGUUUGAGGAGUUAUAUAAUCAUGUGUUAAGUGGACUGAUGUA